rnacentral:tRNA from 1 species
GCGUCAGUAGCUCAACGGAUAGAGCAACAGAUUCCGGUUCUGUAGGUUGGGGGUUCGAGUCCCUUCUGGCGCGCCA